UUGUAGGACUCCUAGACAACAUGCUCAAGCUAGUUGGAAAAUCUUCACCAUGACAAGUCCAUCUCUUGUAAGUCACAUCUAUACCAUGUUCGUAUAAAUAAUUUUGAAUAUCUGAUAGGGUACACCAAAAUAAAUUUCUACAUCGACGAUAUGGACAACGAGCUUUCCUAUCUUCUCUAAUAUGAUUGGAUGCCACAUUCAUAAAAGAUGUCACACCCGCAAUAUACUCUGGAUAAAAUUUAUCAUGCAAUGACAUCCAACCAUGAUCUAUGCCUACAUAUUUAUGAUGCAAACUAUAAAAUCAAUUUAAUAUAAUAAUAGUUGACUAACACCUUAUAUCCCCUACCUACAGGGUAAUGGUCCUAUCCCAUUCAGAAAUAUAGGAAUUUAAUAUUGCAAUACAUGUCUUCUAUAACAAAAAAAUUUUGAUAGCAUUUUGGUGUAGUUCUCC
rnacentral:lncRNA from 1 species